UCUCUGUUAGUAUAUCGGUUAGUACACGCGCCUGUCAUAUACACAUAUGGUCGGACGCGCGAAAGCUGGGUUCGACUCCCAGACAGAGAG